GCGGACGGGUUAGUAACGCGUGGGAACGUGCCCUUUUCUACGGAAUAGCCUCGGGAGACUGAGAGUAAUACCGUAUACGCCCUUCGGGGGAAAGAUUUAUCGGAGAAGGAUCGGCCCGCGUCUGAUUAGGUAGUUGGUGGGGUAAUGGCCUACCAAGCCUACGAUCAGUAGCUGGUUUUAGAGGAUGAUCAGCAACACUGGGACUGAGACACGGCCCAGACUCCUACGGGAGGCAGCAGUGGGGAAUCUUAGACAAUGGGCGCAAGCCUGAUCUAGCCAUGCCGCGUGAGUGAUGAAGGCCUUAGGGUCGUAAAGCUCUUUCGCCAGAGAUGAUAAUGACAGUAUCUGGUAAAGAAACCCCGGCUAACUCCGUGCCAGCAGCCGCGGUAAUACGGAGGGGGUUAGCGUUGUUCGGAAUUACUGGGCGUAAAGCGCACGUAGGCGGAUCAGAAAGUUGGGGGUGAAAUCCCAGGGCUCAACCCUGGAACGGCCUCCAAAACUCCUGGUCUUGAGUUCGAGAGAGGUGAGUGGAAUUCCGAGUGUAGAGGUGAAAUUCGUAGAUAUUCGGAGGAACACCAGUGGCGAAGGCGGCUCACUGGCUCGAUACUGACGCUGAGGUGCGAAAGUGUGGGGAGCAAACAGGAUUAGAUACCCUGGUAGUCCACACCGUAAACGAUGAAUGCCAGUCGUCGGGUAGUAUACUGCUCGGUGACACACCUAACGGAUUAAGCAUUCCGCCUGGGGAGUACGGUCGCAAGAUUAAA
rnacentral:rRNA from 1 species